rnacentral:tRNA from 1 species
GGGGGUACAGCUCAGUGGCAGAGUGCUUACCCAAUAUGCAGGAGUCCCUGGGUUCAAUCCACAGCACCCCCA